rnacentral:rRNA from 1 species
UACGUAGGGUGCGAGCGUUGCCCGGAAUUAUUGGGCGUAAAGAGCUCGUAGGCGGUCUGUCGCGUCGAUCGUGAAAACUUGGGGCUUAACCCUGAGCUUGCGGUCGAUACGGGCAUGACUGGAGUUCGGCAGGGGAGACUGGAAUUCCUGGUGUAGCGGUGAAAUGCGCAGAUAUCAGGAGGAACACCGAUGGCGAAGGCAGGUCUCUGGGCCGAUACUGACGCUGAGGAGCGAAAGCGUGGGGAGCGAACAGG